CCCGCACAAGCGGAGGAGCAUGUGGUUAAUUCGAUGAUACGCGAGGAACCUUACCUGGGCUCGAACGUAAGAUGACUGUAGGUGAAAGCUUACAUCUCUUCGGAGCAUUUUACGAGGUGCUGCAUGGUUGUCGUCAGCUCGUGCCGUGAGGUGUCGGGUUAAGUCCCAUAACGAGCGCAACCCUACCUUUAGUUGCCAUCAGGUAAUGCUGGGGACUCUAAAGGAACUGCCUACGCAAGUAGUGAGGAAGCGGGGAUGACGUCAAAUCAGCACGGCCCUUACGUCCAGGGCUACACACGUGCUACAAUGGCCGAUACAGAGGGCAGCUACCUGGUGACAGGAUGCAAAUCUCCAAAGUCGGUCUCAGUUCGGAUCGGAGUCUGCAACCCGACUCCGUGAAGUUGGAUUCGCUAGUAAUCGCGCAUCAGCCAUGGCGCGGUGAAUACGUUCCCGGGCCUU
rnacentral:rRNA from 1 species